rnacentral:rRNA from 1 species
GACGUAGGGGGCCAGCGUUGUUCGGAAUUACUGGGUGUAAAGGGUUCGUAGGCGGUGUGGCAAGUCGGGAGUGAAAUCUCUGGGCUCAACUCAGGGGCUGCUUCCGAAACUGCUGUGCUAGAGUGUGGGAGAGGCGCGUGGAAUUGCAGGUGUAGCGGUGAAAUGCGUAGAUAUCUGCAGGAACACCCGUGGCGAAAGCGGCGCGCUGGACCACUACUGACGCUGAGGAACGAAAGCUAGGGGAGCAAACAGG